GGGCUUUCAGUCUUUAGACUAGCCCAACACGGUGAAGAUUUGUUUGUCAAAAAACUCUACUACUAUUGUUUAUCAGAUUCGAUUUGCAGAUUUGUUACCGAUUUCUCUCUCUGGAAAAGUAAAAACAGCAGCUGAAGUUGAAGAUGGUGAUGCGAGGACAGCCGUUGGUCACCAAGCUGGCGGCGCUGGCAAAGGAUGUAGUGUUUCCGGUGACGAUAAUCGCCGCCCUCGUAUACUCGCCGCCCGAUUCUCUGCGCGGAAAACCUCAAUCUAAAUCCAGUUGAUUGGGGAUCUUCGAUUUCUAUUGAUUAGAUGAAGAGGCUUUCAUGAUGGUUGAAUGCCCACCUUUUGGUUAAAGUCGUAAUGUGUUGAAUGAAAAUGGUAUGUAAUAAUUGUAAUGUUGUUUCAGUGAUGUAAACAACUGAGGAUUUUUUUAAAAUUAUCUCAAUGCAGUUCUGUUUCCUUCUUCA